CAGAACCGGCCUGCUGACUGCCAAGACCGAACAUCGAGUACCGUGACGUAGACAGAACAGAGACAAGCUGGAGCUGUGAAGAUGACCCCCUUCCCUCAGCGACAGCCUCGGUGAUGUAACCAGGGACCUCCCAAAUAAAUAGAGGCAGCACGUGGGCUGGACUUUUAGAACGUAGUUUGGAUCUGUAACUAGAGUACAGCCCAAAACACAUCUCUCCUCCAUCCAUCCAUUUUCUACCGCUUAUUCCCUUUUGGGGUCACGGGGGGCGCUGGCGCCUAUCUCAGCUACAAUCGGGCGGAAGGCGGGGUACACCCUGGACAAGUCGCCACCUCAUCGCAGGGCCAACACAGAUAGACAGACAACAUUCACGCUCACAUUCACACACUAGGGCCAAUUUAGUGUUGCCAAUCAACCUAUCCCCAGGUGCAUAUCUUUGGAAGUGGGAGGAAGCCGGAGUACCCGGAGGGAACCCACGCAUUCACGGGGAGAACAUGCAAACUCCACACAGAAAGAUCCCGAGCCUGGAUUUGAACCCAGGACUGCAGGACCUUCGUAUUGUGAGGCAGACGCACUAACCCCUCUGCCACCGUGAAGCCCCCACAUCUCUCCUCAAUUGAGCAAAAUGUAACUCUGUCUGUGCAUGAUUUCUUCCUUCUCGUCUGUUUAAUAGACGCAUCAGUGUUUGAACCUGACACCACUAUAAUCUUUUUCCUCUUUUCUACUCUUUUAGCACUCGACUUACCUUCAUGACCUUCUCUCCCCUCUAGUCCUAUCCAUGUCCAUACCUUCCUCAUACAUCAGCUCACUGUCCCCUUCCAUCUCCUUUUAAGCAGCUACCAGAAAUCCAUAGCUGGAUAAUGGAGAGGUUUUGUGAAAAAAUAAUAAUACAAAAUAAUUGCCUAAAACCAAAAAUUAAAAUGAAAUACAUCUCCUCUGUUCUGUACAUCAUUGUCCAAGUGACAUUAUAUUGUCAUCUUCUUCUUUAUGCCAUUUCCUCAAGGUGACAGAAAAACAUGAUACAACCUGCCUAUCAUGUGAUUCUACCAUGUUGGCAAAAUACAAACACACAAUAUAUUGACAUAUAUAACACAUAAAACAUGGAAUUAGAAGUGAACAGUACCCAUCCCUACCAGCAAGUGUUGUUGUACUGGAAACUAAUUUACAAACACAACUUCAUCACACACAAUACUCCACUAUGGAAUUGUUCUUAUAUUAAAAUGAGAAACAAAUCCAUCUUUGAACAGCAAUGGUUUGAAAAAGGCAUUUGGUCACUGAUGCACUUAUUGACUGAUAAAACUAUUUUAAUAUUUCAAGAUUUAAUUAAGUAUGACCUGCAAAUAAGAAAUAUUACAAAAUUUAAAUAGGCUUUUAUUUGAAAUAUUCUAGUUACUGCAUCUUUUUUAAUUGUUUUCUAUUUCUUCUUCUUCUUAUUUUCUCUGAAACAAAAAAAUACUUAAAAGUUUCCAUUCUUUCUGAGAUAAAAGAGUUAAUCUAAAUUUAAAAAAAGCAUGGAAUUGAGCACUUAAAAUUAUAUUAUAGAUGUUAUUUUGCAAUUGAAGACAACACUUGUUCGAUCUGUGACUGAGAAACACAAUAAACAGUUUAUUUUAAGAAUGUACGCAAAGUAAAUCUCUGUGGGAUGAUGUACAAUAUUGGCUUUUGUCCGACACUCCAAACUUUGACUGAUAUUGAUGUUGUUUUGGGGAUGUUGAAAAAAGAAAAAAAUACAUAAAAAAAUGUUUAGAACACAAUACUGGAUUUAUUUGAUGUAUCCAGAAAUGUAAGUUUGUAAAAACAAAAUCCUUUCACAAAAACAAAAAAAAAAAAUCUGCUAUUUUCUCUCACUUGUAUAUUGCAUAAAGGUCUGGGGACAUACAUAUAAAACAAUCACAACACAAUCAUUAUAAUACAGAGUAAUAACGAUAAUGAAUAAAAUAGAUUAUAGAGACCCAACAAAUGAAUCAUAAAGUUGUUAGAAAGUCAAAAUGAAAGUCUGGACAGUUUAUUUCAAAUCCUGCAGUUUCAUUUGCUGCUGCUGUUCUCGCCAGCACACUUGUGUUUCUUACACUGGUACUUAGAAGACAAUCUUUCACCACACACACUGCAACUCAACACUUUCUCUCCUGGGUGUCUUCUCAUGUGUACUAAAAGGUUUGAUCGGUCACAAAAGCUUCUGUUGCAGAUUGAACAAGAAUGUGAUUUUUCACCAGUGUGUGUUCUAGUGUGUACUUUCAAACUGUUACUUUGUACAAAACCUUUACUGCAGAUUGAACAGGAAAAAGGUUUUUCGCCAGUGUGUGUUCUCAUGUGUACUUUCAAAUAGCUACUUUUUACAAAACCUUUACUACGGAUUGAACAAGUAAAAGGUUUUUCUCCA